AUGCUGACAUAAGUAACGAUAAUGCGGGUGAAAAACCCGCACGCCGGAAGACCAAGGGUUCCUGUCCAACGUUAAUCGGGGCAGGGUGAGUCGACCCCUAAGGCGAGGCCGAAAGGCGUAGUCGAUGGGAAACAGGUUAAUAUUCCUGUACUUGGUGUUACUGCGAAGGGGGGACGGAGAAGGCUAUGUUAGCCGGGCGACGGUUGUCCCGGUUUAAGCAUGUAGGCGGAGGUUCCAGGUAAAUCCGGUACCUUUUUAACGCUGAGGUGUGAUGACGAGGCACUACGGUGCUGAAGUAACAAAUGCCCUGCUUCCAGGAAAAGCCUCUAAGCAUCAGGUAACACGAAAUCGUACCCCAAACCGACACAGGUGGUCAGGUAGAGAAUACCAAGGCGCUUGAGAGAACUCGGGUGAAGGAACUAGGCAAAAUGGUGCCGUAACUUCGG
rnacentral:rRNA from 1 species